UACGUGGGGGGCAAGCGUUGUCCGGAUUUAUUGGGCGUAAAGAGCGUGUAGGCGGCCAGGUAGGUCUGCUGUGAAAACUCGAGGCUUAACCUCGAGAUGUCGGCGGAAACCAUCUGGCUAGAGUCCGGAAGAGGAGAAUGGAAUUCCCGGUGUAGCGGUGAAAUGCGCAGAUAUCGGGAAGAACACCCGUGGCGAAGGCGGUUCUCUGGGACGGUACUGACGCUGAGACGCGAAAGCGUGGGGAGCGAACAGG
rnacentral:rRNA from 1 species